CUCCCCCCUAAAUACCUCCAUAUACCGCUCAUUCUAUAUACCGCUCCCCCCUAAAUACCUCCCUAUACCGCUCAUUCUAUAUACCGCUUGUAACGGGACUGCAAUAUUAAGUCCCCAGAUCUCCGCUGGUAUAGACGGUAAUAUCCCAAAUCCCCCCAGUAACCAGACGAAACACCGUUCAGGGAGUCAACUGAACUUUAUUCACGGCUCCAGGAAUUAACUGCCAACUGUCAACUUUUUAAAAAUGUUCUGCAAUGCAUUACACACACAUACCCUUGGUUCUUAAAGUGGUACAUGCAUAUUGAACCGAACGGAUACAAGCAUUUAAACAGCAGGGAGAAGGUUUAACUCAGGGCCCACAGGCAAAUACAUGAAAAAUCCUUCACAAUGGCCCCCCUUUUUCUCCCUGCUCCGGCAACUCGGUUGGACCUUUCCUGGUCCAAUAGGGUUGACGGGACUUUCC